UCCCCCCCUUAAGAACAUUCGUCCCCUUAUAUUCCUCAACUAGCACAUAGCAUGGCAUACAACAUAACAUACAUACAUAGCACAUAAACACAUAGAGAUCUAACCUUAAAAGAGAUGAGGGUACUGCUGGAGCAUAGACUCCCGUGUCUCCCAGGUGUACUCUUCCAUAUUGUGGUGGUUCCAAAGGACUUUCACCAUCGGGAUUUCCUUGUUUCUCAGCUUUCUGAUCUGGGUGUCUAUGAUCCGUACUGGCUGUUCAACAUAGGUGAGAUCCUCUUGGACCUCCACAUCAGGCUCACUAAGAACCUUGCUCGGAUCUGACACGAACUUCCUCAACAUUGAAACAUGGAAAACCGG
rnacentral:lncRNA from 1 species